rnacentral:rRNA from 1 species
UUGAUUCCUGGCUCAGGACGAACGCUGGCGGCGUGCUUAACACAUGCAAGUCGAGCGGUAAGGCCCUUCGGGGUACACGAGCGGCGAACGGGUGAGUAACACGUGGGUGAUCUGCCUUGCACUCUGGGAUAAGCCUGGGAAACUGGGUCUAAUACCGGAUAUGACCUUCGGUUGCAUGACCGGGGGUGGAAAGAUUUAUCGGUGCAAGAUGAGCCCGCGGCCUAUCAGCUUGUUGGUGGGGUAAUGGCCUACCAAGGCGACGACGGGUAGCCGGCCUGAGAGGGCGACCGGCCACACUGGGACUGAGACACGGCCCCAGACUCCUACGGGAAGGCAGCAGUGGGGAAUAUUGCACAAUGGGCGGAAGCCUGAUGCAGCGACGCCGCGUGAGGGAUGACGGCCUUCCGGGUUGUAAACCCUCUUUUCGGCUCCGACGAAGCGAGAGUGACGGUAGGAGUAUAAGAAGCACCGGCCAACUACGUGCCAGCAGCCGCGGUAAUACGUAGGGUGCGAGCGUUGUCCGGAAUUACUGGGCGUAAAGAGCUUGUAGGCGGCUUGUCGCGUCGAUCGUGAAAACUCGGGGCUCAACCCCGAGCUUGCGGUCGAUACGGGCAGGCUUGAGUACUUCAGGGGAGACUGGAAUUCCUGGUGUAGCGGUGAAAUGCGCAGAUAUCAGGAGGAACACCGGUGGCGAAGGCGGGUCUCUGGGAAGUAACUGACGCUGAGAAGCGAAAGCGUGGGUAGCGAACAGGAUUAGAUACCCUGGUAGUCCACGCCGUAAACGGUGGGUACUAGGUGUGGGUUUCCUUCCACGGGAUCCGUGCCGUAGCUAACGCAUUAAGUACCCCGCCUGGGGAGUACGGCCGCAAGGCUAAAACUCAAAGGAAUUGACGGGGGCCCGCACAAGCGGCGGAGCAUGUGGAUUAAUUCGAUGCAACGCGAAGAACCUUACCUGGGUUUGACAUACACCGGAAACCUGCAGAGAUGUAGGCCCCCUUGUGGUCGGUGUACAGGUGGUGCAUGGCUGUCGUCAGCUCGUGUCGUGAGAUGUUGGGUUAAGUCCCGCAACGAGCGCAACCCUUAUCUUAUGUUGCCAGCGCGUAAUGGCGGGGACUCGUGAGAGACUGCCGGGGUCAACUCGGAGGAAGGUGGGGACGACGUCAAGUCAUCAUGCCCCUUAUGUCCAGGGCUUCACACAUGCUACAAUGGCCGGUACAGAGGGCUGCGAUACCGUGAGGUGGAGCGAAUCCCUUAAAGCCGGUCUCAGUUCGGAUCGGGGUCUGCAACUCGACCCCGUGAAGUUGGAGUCGCUAGUAAUCGCAGAUCAGCAACGCUGCGGUGAAUACGUUCCCGGGCCUUGUACACACCGCCCGUCACGUCAUGAAAGUCGGUAACACCCGAAGCCGGUGGCCUAACCCUGUGGAGGGAGCCGUCGAAGUGAU